rnacentral:rRNA from 1 species
CAUGCAAGUCGAGCGAGAAGCUAACUUCGGUUAGUGGACAGCGGCGCACGGGUGAGUAACGCGUGGGAAUUUACCUUUCGGCGGGGGACAACAGUUGGAAACGACUGCUAAUACCGCAUACGCCCUACGGGGGAAAGAUUUAUCACCGAAAGAUAGGCCCGCGUUAGAUUAGGUAGUUGGUAGGGUCAAAGCCUACCAAGCCGACGAUCUAUAGCUGGUUUGAGAGAACGAUCAGCCACACUGGAACUGAGACACGGUCCAGACUCCUACGGGAGGCAGCAGUGGGGAAUCUUGCACAAUGGGCGAAAGCCUGAUGCAGCCAUGCCGCGUGAGUGAGAAGGCCUUCGGGUUGUAAAACUCUUUUAGAUGUGAAGAUGAUGACGGUAACAUCAGAAAAAGCACCGGCUAACUUCGUGCCAGCAGCCGCGGUAAUACGAAGGGUGCUAGCGUUGUUCGGAAUUACUGGGCGUAAAGAGCGUGUAGGCGGCUUAGCAAGUUAGAGGUGAAAUCCCAGGGCUCAACCCUGGAACUGCCUUUGAUACUGCUAGGCUUGAGAUCGUGAGGGGAUAGCGGAAUACCCAGUGUAGAGGUGAAAUUCGU